AGAGUUUGAUCCUGGCUCAGGACGAACGCUGGCGGCGUGCUUAACACAUGCAAGUCGAACGAAGAGCGAUGGAAGCUUGCUUCUAUCAAUCUUAGUGGCGAACGGGUGAGUAACGCGUAAUCAACCUGCCCUUCAGAGGGGGACAACAGUUGGAAACGACUGCUAAUACCGCAUACGAUCCAAUCUCGGCAUCGAGACUGGAUGAAAGGUGGCCUCUAUUUAUAAGCUAUCACUGAAGGAGGGGAUUGCGUCUGAUUAGCUAGUUGGAGGGGUAACGGCCCACCAAUGCGAUGAUCAGUAGCCGGUCUGAGAGGAUGAACGGCCACAUUGGGACUGAGACACGGCCCAGACUCCUACGGGAGGCAGCAGUGGGGAAUCUUCCGCAAUGGACGAAAGUCUGACGGAGCAACGCCGCGUGAGUGAUGACGGCCUUCGGGUUGUAAAGCUCUGUUAAUCGGGACGAAUGGUUCUUGUGCGAAUAGU
rnacentral:rRNA from 1 species